rnacentral:rRNA from 1 species
CCCUUAGAUGUCCUGGGCCGCACGCGUGCUACACUGACGCCUACAGCGAGUACUUCCCAGCCCCGAGAGGCGGCUGGUAAUCAGCAAUAGGCGUCGUGAUGGGGAUAGAUCUUUGGAAUUAUGGAUCUUGAACGAGGAAUUCCCAGUAAGUGCAAGUCAUAAGCUUGCGCUGACUACGUCCCUGCCCUUUGUACACACCGCCCGUCGCUACUACCGAUUGAAUGAUUUAGUGAGGACUUCGGACUGGGACCGAUGCGGCUUUCGGGCUGCGUCGGUAUUCUGGAAAGAUGUCCAAACUGUAUCAUUUAGAGGAAGUAAAAGUCGUAACA